rnacentral:rRNA from 1 species
AUGAAUUCCGAGAUUAUCGAACGAAAUAGGAGGAGAAGGGAGGAUGUUGAAGACAUGCUGCACUUUAUUCGGCCCGUAUUGCAUCGAAUGCGUAAUAGAGGACCAAUCGAGAGAAAGCAACAACAUAGCUCCAUCCUAUAUGGCAAGAAGCGUGUUGACGAUAUCCUUACAGGGCAUGUCAAGAAUUGCCUAGUAGCUUAUAGGAUGGAGCCACAUAUCUUCCAGGUUUUCGCAUCUUAUCUUAGAACUAAUAUUAUGAUUGCAUGCGACUUCGAUAUAAGAUUCACUUUCAUAUCAUGUGGCUGGGAGGGUUUAGCUACAGAUGCGAGAGUUCUUUAG